GGUUUCAUAAGGACGAAAAGGACUUGACGAUUACAGUAAGUCAGUGACCUACACCUGCAGAGGCCUCAACACCUCAUGGUAUUUAGACUCAUAUGAUAAACUAAAGCCCUAUGCUAUUGCUAUCAACAGCUGCAUUGUACAGUCAUUUCCAGGCAUUUCGCCUAGAGUCCACCUGUUUCUUUUUUCCUUUAGCAUUUCUCAUAUAUUCUUUUUAAAGUUCUGAUACUCAUGACAAUGUAAUGCUGAUGAACCAAAGGAUGAAGUAUCUCCAUGUUUUUGAAACCUAUUCUUAAGUACAAUUCAUCUAAAUGCUCCACAGCCCUCGUUUUAACAACUCUCCUCCAUAACAGGUAACUUUACUAUUUUACUUUCCAAGGUUCGGUCAAAACUUGAGAGCCCUGUAACUGAACAUGCAUCAGAGUCACCCAGACCAUGCAUAAUUAACAGAUAUUAAUUAUGCAUGCAGUAGCUUACAAAACAUGUCCAUGUGAUCCAGCAGCAAAAGUAAACCCGUUUUUGGAUUAAAAUGCAUAGGACUCAUACAGUGAUCAAGAGAUUACUACAAACCUCUUGCAUUUAGAUUGUGUGCUGCUUAAAACAUGGACAGAGACGCCCUGAUUGUUCAGGUCUAAACAGAGGACAUCAUGUUUGCUGAGUCAGUUACUGCUGGCUUUGCAUCCCUGGAAAAGCAGCACAUCUCAUACCCUGUACCUCUUUUCUGUAACACUGUCACUGUAACAUCUGAGCUCAGCGGGGAGUUGAUCUGUGGGAAAAAGGAACAAAAACUACAUUAGAUAAAGGUCUGGAGCCUGAGAGGCAACAACCCUUUUGUUAUUCGAGGUGAAGUUUGUUUUUUAACAACUACUCAGAGUUCAAUUCAAGUCAAACAGACAGGAGUAAUGUGAUGGGAUGGGACCUCCUUCACCGCUACGUGAAUUUUCACUGCCAAACUGUAAAAACACUACACUGUAUAUGUGCCCUUUUCACUACAAAGUGCAGCAUGUAUUGAUUUAAGUCUUGAUUUGGUAAAUAAGGUGAACUGCAAACAUUGAAAUAAAUCAAACACUUCCAAAACCCUUCACCAAGGUGGACUGGUUAGGGAACAGGAGACUCAGUAGGGGGUUCCAUUUUUUUUUAUAGAAAUGACAAGGAGCUUCAAUCAAGAAAUAUAUUUGGCUUUAAGCAUCAUUCAUGGAUGGCUUUGAUCUCCAGGCCUCAUGAAAUGAUAUGGCUCUGUAGUGGAAAUCACUGCAUAGCCUCAAAAUCCCAUCUAAAAAAAACAAAAAAACGGUGUUCAUAACUACACCCACAAAUGCAGGUUAGAGUGAACAGUAUCUGCAAACAUGAUCCAGAAAUGCGGGUGACUCCUCUGAGUCUCAGAUUGUUUAAAUGGACUGAGGCAAAUUGAGACGUUACAUCCUCAGCUCUAUGAAGCAGAAGACCCACCGGGCCCACUUCAAAAGAAUGCAUCCCUGUUGGUACGGGGAUGUAUAAUGCUGCGUUCCAGUUGUACUCGGAAGUACAACUCGGAAGCAUCUGGAACACCCUUCUGAAGUCGGAUUUCCGACUCGGAAAGUCGGACGAUCCUUGCCAACCCCGACUUGACGACAAUGCCAUAAUCCAAAAUGGUAGCGCAGCGCAUCAAAAAGUAACAUGUAACAGUGAAAGUUCCCGUAAUGCAGUACUGAUUAGCACCUGUGUUUUGUUGAAAGUAAAUAAUAAGUAAUAUGUUGUACUGCCCAACGUCUAACUGUGGACAUGGUACUAUAGUGUUUGUAAGAGUAAAAUACUGUGUUACACGUUGUUUACAACUAGUACAGCUAACAAUAACUAACAAAAGCUGACAACGGCUAACAAUGGCUAACAACGGCUAACAGUAGGGUUGUUGGUUUCUGACUUGUUAACUGGAACGCUGUCAACUCGGGUGUGGCGUCAUUCCCAGCUCCAACAUCCGACUUCCGAGGUAACUGGAACGCAGCAUAAGAAAAGAAACAUUGAAAUAGUUAUUUAAAAAUCUCUAAAACUCUUUAUUGCAGAUUCAGCCAUCCUACGUCAGCUGACCUGAUGCAGACCACUCACAGCUCUGAAGCAGAUCACCUUCAGAGCAGCCGUGGAGCUUUGACUGCAGAGAGAGAAGAGUUCGAGGGGAGACUAAGUAACCUGACUACUAAAAAAGAUCAGCUACAGCAGAACUACAACUCCCUAAACCAAGAUAGAGAUCAGCUACAAACAAACUAUGGCAACCUGCAAAGAGAAAAGAAAAGUUGUUGACAACGGCUAACGACAGCUGACAAUCGUUAACUCCAACAUCCAACUUCUGAGGUAACUGGAACGCAGCAUUAGUGUAUGUGGCGUGGCUAGCUUGUACAUCUGGGGAGGUGUAUGCUGCCCGUAUGACGAGUGGCUCAGAAGUAGAAGAGUCUAGCUGCUAAAACAGUCCUAUGAAAAACAAUUAGAGCAUCAUGACACAAAAAUACAACGGAGGAACUGUUGAGCAGCUGAAAUGGAGGAUACUGCCAGAAGAAGAGGUGAUGCAACACAACGGUAAACACUUUCAAAUGACUAAAACAUGAAAUCACCUCCCUUCUCUUUGAUAAAGUGGAGACAGAAGGACAAAAAAGAGGGCUGGUUAGCAUCGACUUCAGAGCUGUUUCAUUGGAUUGCAUCAUAUCACACACUGCUACUGUCGACGCCUCCAUUCCUCAUCCUGUUGCACCCUGAACAGAUGACAAAGCUCUGGUAAAUACUGCUGACAAAGCAACAGCACGCCUCAUGUUACAUAACACAGAAGAAGACACAGCACGUUUUACCACCACUCACAUGUGAGCGGUAGCUACUCGGAGCAGAUGUGCUCGGCAGGCAGAGACACCGCGCUC
rnacentral:lncRNA from 1 species